rnacentral:rRNA from 1 species
UACAGAGGGUGCGAGCGUUGUCCGGAAUCACUGGGCGUAAAGGGCGCGUAGGCGGCUUGAUAAGGUUGCGGUGAAAGCCCGGGGCUCAACCCCGGGUCGGCCGUGGCAACUGUCGAGCUGGAGCACUGUAGAGGCAGGUGGAAUUCCGGGUGUAGCGGUGGAAUGCGUAGAGAUCCGGAAGAACACCGGUGGCAAAGGCGGCCUGCUGGGCAGUGGCUGACGCUGAGGCGCGACAGCGUGGGGAGCAAACAGG